CUACUAUCCAGCGAAACCACAGCCAAGGGAACGGGCUUGGCGGAAUCAGCGGGGAAAGAAGACCCUGUUGAGCUUGACUCUAGUCCGACUUUGGUAAAUGACUUGAGAGGUGUAGGAUAAGUGGGAGCCCUUACGGGCGCAAGUGAAAUACCACUACUUUUAACGUUAUUUUACUUAUUCCGUGGGUCGGAAGCGGGGCAUG
rfam:Hordeum vulgare subsp. vulgare, WGS project CAJW01000000 data, contig: morex_contig_1518751